CAGCAGUUCCCAGUAAUGGAGUGAAAAGUGGAGAGAGAUACCUGGUGAAUGAUGUAGUUUCCUUCCAGUGUGAACCAGGAUACUCUUUGCAGGGUCACUCCCAUAUCUCCUGUAUGCCAGGCACUGUGAGACGCUGGAAUUAUCCUCCCCCUCUAUGCAUCGCUCAGUGUAGAGGGGUCUUAGAGGACAUGGAAGGCGUCAUUCUGAGUCCUGGAUUCCCAGGAAAUUAUCCCAGUAACUUGGAC